UACAGAGACUGCAAGCGUUAUUCGGAUUCACUGGGCGUAAAGGGUGCGCAGGCGGCCAAGUGUGUGAGGCGUGAAAGCCCGGGGCUUAACCCCGGAAUUGCACCUCAAACUACAUGGCUAGAGCAUUGGAGAGGGUAGCAGAAUUCAUGGUAUAGCAGUGAAAUGCGUAGAUAUCAUGAGGAAUACCAGAGGCGAAGGCGGCUACCUGGACAAUUGCUGACGCUCAGGCACGAAAGCGUGGGGAGCAAAAGGG
rnacentral:rRNA from 1 species